GGUUGAUGGUGGGGUGCUGGGCAGAUCGGCGUCCUCAGAGAGAUGCUCAGAGGAUACGUGAAGGCGUAAUGUAUGCAGGACCAAAUGAAAGCGAGGGGCAGUGGUGUGAAUUCGGAUGAGGGUUAACGUGGCCGUGGCAUUUGGUUGUGAGCCCAAGGGAAGCGCUGUGUACUUUACUUGGGGUAGGGGAGACCGCAAAAACGAGAGAGAGAGAGAGUGAUGGAGGUACGUGAGGAAAAGAGCUUAUAGUUAUUAACUUUUAACCCAGAGAGGAGCGACUGCAAAAGAGGGAGGAAGGCUAAUGCAUCUGAGAUAUUGCAUUUUAAAAGGUGUGUAAACAAAGUACCAGGAUGAGGAGAGGAAGGUGAAGCAACAAAAAUGAGGAAAGCGGUGAAAACGUCGGAAAUGAGCCGAGGCAAUUUUAAGUUUUGUCUCUCUCUCUCUUUUUUCCUUUCUCUGCCUCUCUCCUUCUCUAUGUCAGUGCUCUGAUUUAUGACUCAGUUUAAACGAAGGCCACAUGUCUCUCCCAAUGCUGCGAUUUGUCCCCGCACCCCUUCGUCUCAGCUUCCUCGCAAAACAACAGCACACACACAAUCAAAAUAAUAUACCAUUCUUAAAACGGGGCUCCACUUUUUUGGGUACUGUUUUAGGUCGCUCAUUUCACCCUAAGGGACUGUUGGGUUCUCGCACACAGUUUGAUAGAGCUGAUCUGUGGCCUGCUUGCUGGUGGUGCUGCUUCGUAGAGACCGGAGGAAAAUGCAAGAUGAGGGGAGAAAAAAAGAUGACAGCUUACAAGGGAGCCAUUAAUAAUUCUCAGAAGCAAGGUUGUCCUGACACAGAGAAAAUAGGGUGGAGACUCCCUGUGGGACUCGGCUCACAUGAACCGGUGUUGCUUUAGCAGGAGACACCACAGCAGUCUUAACAGCUUUCUGCAGUCUCCAGCGGGACCAGUCAACUGAGAUAGAACCCCUGGAGAACGCAGGAGAGCGUACGGGAGAAGUGAGGGGGUGGGGAAGAGUUUACAUACAUGUACAGUAAAAUGAAACAAAUGUGUGCGAAACACUGCACAACUAGUCCAAAUGGACAGUUUAGGUUAAUGAAAUAAAGCCACAUCUCAAUGUCUAAAAUGAAGUCUA
ensembl:lncRNA